CGAGGACUGCGGAGACAUUAAUGAGUUUUUUUGAAGCAGGGGGGCCCUUUGCUGGCGUGGGGUUUUGCGCGCGCAUAUAUGUGCACGGCUUCCGUGCUUCCUCAAUCCACUCAACCCCUGUGCACUUUAUGGGAGUUAGUAGUCGGCGGUGGUCUGUACUACUUGUCGGCGAACACUUCAAUAUAUACAAAACCCAUACUAUUGUUAUGUUGAAUGUAAUAGCUCCUUGUGGGCGAAAUAUCAAAAUACAACUUUCAACAACGGAUCUCUUGGCUCUCGCAUCGAUGAAGAACGCAGCGAAAUGCGAUAAGUAAUGUGAAUUGCAGAAUUCAGUGAAUCAUCGAAUCUUUGAACGCACCUUGCGCCCCUUGGUAUUCCGAGGGGCAUGCCUGUUUGAGUGUCAUGUUCAUCUCAACUUCCUUGUCUUUUUUAUUAAGGCUUGGGUGUUGGACUUGGAGGUUGUAUGUGCUGGCCCCAGUAGUGGUGGUCGGCUCCUCUUAAAUGCAUUAGCUGGGCUUUGGCUCGCGUUGACGGUGUAAUAGGAAUUAGUUCUAUCUAAACACAUUCACCCUUGCGCUUGCCUAGAGGGUCUGCUUCUAAUUGUCUUUUGGACAAAUUUUUUCUUGACUCCUGACCUCAAAUCAGUUAGAUUACAUUUGGU
rnacentral:rRNA from 1 species